rnacentral:misc_RNA from 1 species
AAGAGUAAGGGUCUCCGGGCCCGAUCUCCAACCCUUUGUUUAACUACCAUGUUGCUUUGGCGGGCCCGUCUCACGACCGCCGGAAGUUUGGCUUCGACCAAACUUCUGGCCCGUGCCCGUCAGUGGCCCCUUCAAAUUCUUGAUGAAGUAUGAUGUCUUAGUUAUAAACUUAAUAGUUA